AACGCGAAGAACCUUACCAGGGUGAGGAUCCCCGCCUGCUGCGCGACCAGCGCACAGUUCUCGGCCGGCUCGAUACCAAGUACGGGAACGUUCUUCUGCUUGAAGUAUUGCAGCAGAUAUCCAUCGUUGCUUCCGAUUUCCACCACCAAGCUGGCUGGGCCGUAACCGAAUCGCCCAAUCAUACGAUCGGCGUAGGAACGGGCGUGAUCCAGCCAAGACUGGGAAUAGGAUGAGAAAUAAGCGUAGUCCUCGGCAAAGAUGUGCUGGGGGGUUUCGAUUUCCUGCAGUUGCACCAGAAAGCAAGAGUUGCAUACGUAUGCAUGUAGCGGAUAGUGCGGCUCCAUCUGCUGCAACUGUUCUACGGUGAGAAACGCAUUCGAGAGCGGAGACAUCCCGAGGUCACAGAAGGUAUGUUCGAGUUGAGCCCCGCAGAAUCGGCACGGUCCGGCCGUCAUCGCGACAAUCCGUCUUGGAAACGCGCAAUCUGCUCUU
rnacentral:rRNA from 1 species